GUGGGGAAUUUUGGACAAUGGGGGCAACCCUGAUCCAGCAAUGCCGCGUGCAGGAAGAAGGCCUUCGGGUUGUAAACUGCUUUUGUACGGAACGAAACGGUCCUGGUUAAUACCUGGGGCUCAUGACGGUACCGUAAGAAUAAGCACCGGCUAACUACGUGCCAGCAGCCGCGGUAAUACGUAGGGUGCAAGCGUUAAUCGGAAUUACUGGGCGUAAAGCGUGCGCAGGCGGUUUUGUAAGACAGACGUGAAAUCCCCGGGCUCAACCUGGGAAUGGCGUUUGUGACUGCAAAGCUGGAGUGCGGCAGAGGGGGAUGGAAUUCCGCGUGUAGCAGUGAAAUGCGUAGAUAUGCGGAGGAACACCGAUGGCGAAGGCAAUCCCCUGGGCCUGCACUGACGCUCAUGCACGAAAGCGUGGGGAGCAAACAGGAUUAGAUACCCUUGUAGUCC
rnacentral:rRNA from 1 species